GACGAACCGUGCGAACGUUGUUCGGAAUCACUGGGCUUAAAGGGCGCGUAGGCGGGUUCGCAAGUCUGUGGUGAAAGCCUCCAGCUUAACUGGAGAAGUGCCAUGGAUACUGCGCAUCUUGAGGAGGGUAGGGGCGUCUGGAACGGUCGGUGGAGCGGUGAAAUGCGUUGAUAUCGACCGGAACUCCGGUGGCGAAGGCGAGGCGCUGGACCCUUUCUGACGCUGAGGCGCGAAAGCCAAGGGAGCAAACAGG
rnacentral:rRNA from 1 species